AUGCAAGUGGGGGCCUCUCCACUUAAACCCAGGGCUCCCCUCCACAGUGAGAGUCUGUGCCGAAGUGCAGCUGGUGCAGUCCGGAGCAGAGGUGAAAAAGCCCGGGGAGUCUCUGAGGAUCUCCUGUAAGGGUUCUGGAUACAGCUUUACCAGCUACUGGAUCAGCUGGGUGCGCCAGAUGCCCGGGAAAGGCCUGGAGUGGAUGGGGAGGAUUGAUCCUAGUGACUCUUAUACCAACUACAGCCCGUCCUUCCAAGGCCACGUCACCAUCUCAGCUGACAAGUCCAUCAGCACUGCCUACCUGCAGUGGAGCAGCCUGAAGGCCUCGGACACCGCCAUGUAUUACUGUGCGAGACA